rnacentral:rRNA from 1 species
UGCGUAGGCGGUGCGGAAAGUUGGGUGUGAAAGCCCUCGGCUCAACCGAGGAAUUGCGCCCAAAACUGCCGCACUAGAGGAAGACAGAGGUACGCGGAACUUAGGGUGGAGCGGUGAAAUGCGUUGAUAUCCUAAGGAACACCGGUGGCGAAAGCGGCGUACUGGGUCUUAUCUGACGCUGAGGCACGAAAGCUAGGGGAGCGAACG